UCUCUCUCUCUCUCUGUGUCUCUCAUGAAUAGAUAAAUAAAAUCUUUAAAAAAAAUCGUGGCAUAUGUAACACGUAUAUGGAAACGUGCCCCAAACAGAAACAUACAGUUUCACAGAUUAUUAUCUAGCAAACUCCAUAUCCUACAAGUGAUCAGGAAAUAGUCCAGACUGUGGAAGGAGCCUCUGUCCAUCGAAAGAUGAGUGGAUAAAGAAGAUGUGGUUUAUGUAUACAAUGGAAUAUUCCUCAGCCGUUGGAAACGACAAAUACCCACCAUUUGCUUCAACGUGGAUGGAACUGGAGGGUAUUAUGCUGAGUGAAAUUCCUGUCCUGUGCAACGCGAAUGUACAAACCAGACACUCUCUCUUUUAAAAACAUCAUUAUUUCAAACAAGCUGAGAAGUCGCAUCUGAAUCCAAGCAACACAGAAAUCUAAGGGCACCACCCGCCGGCAAAUGUCAGCUCUUCAUAUGAAAUGGCAAAGAGCUGGAGAAAUUUAUAGAUCCCUCCGUAGGGGACCGGCUAAUGACAGCCACAGGGCAGUGGCUGUCACACAGCAUCGGCCGCAAUGUCUGGGAAAACCCAAAAUAUACCAACCAUGUGGUCUGUCCGGUGCACCUUUCCAGGUGCUCUGAUUCUCGGGGGACUCUGAGUCUUUGAGCUCUUUACCCUUCUGUAGAUUGGAAAUGACAGAGCGAGGCAAAUAGUCCUUGUCCACAGCCAUGCAAGGAACUUUUGUCUGCUGGAGAUUCAGUGAAUUUCCCUCUUCCCCUGGGGGAAAAGCCAGUUUUCGAUAUAUUCAGGAAAUUCCUUUACCUUUCCUGAAAGAAAACCUGCAUGUCUGUCACCCCUCGGGAUUUGUCCUUUGAACCGGUUGUAUCAUCUUACUGAGGUAUUAUAAUUAAAAUGUUUGACAUGCGCCCAUUUGGGAGUUGUGUGACAGUCAUGAUUUCACGUGGCAACAAAGUUCUCCACGCAGCAUGGAUUUGCAGGAGAUUUUUAUUGCCCUCUUUCUUUUCAGCAUUUUUCCAACUCUUCAUAUUAGGUAUAU